rnacentral:tRNA from 1 species
GGGACUGUAGCUCAGAUGGUUAGAGUAUCUCGUUGACAUCGAGGGGGUCGCUGGUUCGAGUCCAGUCAGUCCCACCA